rnacentral:rRNA from 1 species
GAUGAACGCUGGCGGCGUGCCUAAUACAUGCAAGUCGAGCGAACAGACGAGGAGCUUGCUCCUCUGACGUUAGCGGCGGACGGGUGAGUAACACGUGGAUAACCUACCUAUAAGACUGGGAUAACUUCGGGACACCGGAGCUAAUACCGGAUAAUAUAUUGAACCGCAUGGUUCAAUAGUGAAAGACGGUUUUGCUGUCACUUAUAGAUGGAUCCGCGCCGCAUUAGCUAGUUGGUAAGGUAACGGCUUACCAAGGCAACGAUGCGUAGCCGACCUGUGAGGGUGAUCGGCCACACUGGAACUGAGACACGGUCCAGACUCCUACGGGAGGCAGCAGUAGGGAAUCUUCCGCAAUGGGCGAAAGCUUGACGGAGCAACGCCGCGUGAGUGAUGAAGGUCUUCGGAUCGUAAAACUCUGUUAUUAGGGAAAAACAAAUGUGUAAGUAACUAUGCACGUCUUGACGGUACCUAAUCAGAAAGCCACGGCUAACUACGUG